rnacentral:pre_miRNA from 1 species
UCUUAUGCCUGAGCAAAGAAAGUGGUUUCUCAAGGUGGAAUCUACCCCUGGUGAAGACACUGUGAA